rnacentral:tRNA from 1 species
GCACCCAUGGCUCAACUGGAUAGAGCGUCUGACUACGAAUCAGAAGGUUGGGAGUUCAAGUCUUCCUGGGUGCGCCA